UGCGUCGCUUGUUUCUCUGCUUAUUUCCUCCCUUCUCACCACACACACACACACACACACACACACACACACCACAUAUUUCCGUGUGUUGCCUCCGCUAUCAAUCUCCCUACCCCCUCCGCCCAUCAGCCCGGCUCCACUGCUCCUGCUCGGACUUGCUUCGUCCAGCUUCUUGAAGCUCUUCUACCCAUCCUAAAUUCUUGUCGUUGCUGGAGAGGGGAUUCUUUUGCGUUUUCGACGCAACACGCACACGACGACAUCACCGAAAAAGCUUACAGGGCUCGCCCCCUUCCUUCCGGCUCGUUCCCGUGCAGUUUCCCCUGCCUCAAUGCCGUCCUCCUUCCCUGCUGAGGCGUCCAUGUGGAUGCAGAACGCCGUUCACCUCGAUACGGACCACAAAUACGUGGAGGCGGAGGAGUGCUACACGAAGGCCAUUUUUUUGUUUCGGCAGGCCCUCUCGGACCCGAACAUGGCGGACACCGAGCGACAGAAGCUCUUGAGCUACAUGAGUGAUGUAGCCAAGCGCAUACAGCGGCUGCGCGCGCUGAACCGCACUUCCCAGAGUGCGAACUCGCCUGAGCCUAGCGUUUCUCCGUCCGGCCCGUUGGGACGCCGUGCCUCGGCUAGGCAGGCAAGCGAGCACACGCCUCCUCGUGGCUCCGACGCCGCCGCGACGGCCUUCGGCGCGCGGAACCCACGCGGUAAGGACGGCAAAAAGGCACCAGCAGGCGUCGAAAACGACUUGAAAGUGCUGGACGCCAUUCAAGUCAAUCAAACCGAUCCAUUUCAGGCCAGCAACUCCAGCCCCAGCCCCUCCGCCGCGUCGUCAAUGUCGGGCAAGCGCGCGUUGCCGGUGGCUUCUCCGACCCCUUCACCCCCGUCAGCGCCGCCAUGUAAGCCAACCUGCGGCAGCGACGGCGUGCCAGAUGGUGGCAAGCCAGGCGGCAGCUCCGCGGAACCGCCCGCGUUGCCGACUCCGCCACCACCUGGCUCCUCGCAGCGGCUGUUCGGCGUCGCGUCUCACUUUGCCCCUCGUACAUCCGAGAUGGUUUACAAGGCGAUUGGGAUCGCGAUUCAGCUUAGCCAGCAAGGGGAGCUCAAGCGGGCGGUAGAUGUGCUGCAGCACGCCUACUCGCGGGGCAGCCGUGAGCGCAAUAACCCUGGCAAUUUCAAGGAGAUUGGCGAGACACUGAAGCUAAUGCGCCAGAAGUACUACGCAAAACAUCUGCCACGCUUCCUGCAGGACAACCCGAUCCUGCCGAGCGAGAUGGAGCUGCUGCGCAAGAGCGGCAUCACAAGCACGAUCCUGCUCCCGCUCUGGGACGAUGUGCAUGAGGGCUACGGAGCUGAGAACAUCUUCAUGCCCUGCGAGGGAGUUUGGGAGGACGCUUUCACACCAAAGCUGUGCCAGAGGCAAAUCAGCUCCGGCGCCGUCCUCAUGCACUUUUCCGGAUACCGGCAGGCGGGGCUUGACUACACCAUUGUGCGCGAGGCGGAUCCACUGCACAUUCGGCAGAGCGUCGUCGGCGACUGCUCACUCGUCUGCAGUCUCAUGAUCUGCGCCAGCUAUCAGAAGCGCUUCCCUAACGCGAAGAUUAUCAGCAACGUCAUCUACCCUCAAGACCGCGACGGCAACCCAAUCUUGAACCCGAAGGGCAAGUACUGUGUAAAGAUGCUCAUCAACGGUAUUACUCGCAUGGUCACGGUGGACGAUCGGCUGCCGGUGAACCCUCAGUCGAGGCGCUUCCUCUGCACGAGCAGCACGGAUCCGAGCGAGCUGUGGGUAUCCAUUAUGGAAAAGGCGUUCGUCAAGGUGUGCGGCGGCAGCUACAACUUCCCCGGCAGCGUCAGCUACGCCGACCUGUACAAGCUAAGCGGGUGGCUGCCAGACUCGACGGCGUUCGGCAAGCCCGAGUUCGACCGCGAGUUCCAGUGGCGGCGGCUUUAUCAAAACUUCAAGGCUGGUGCUCUGCUCUUCACAGUCAGCACCCCUGUGGAGAUGCCAGCAGCGGACGAAGCGCUCGGGCUCGCCGCAGGGCACGCGUAUGCGGUGCUGGAUAUGCAGGAGGUGGGCAAGGAGCGCGUCAUGCUGCUGCGCAACCCGUGGGGGAAGCAGGAGUGGAACGGCAAGUACGGCCGCCGCGACACCAGCGAGGCAAGCGUCGCCGUCCGCGCCGCCUUUGAUCUGAAACGCGAGGAGGAGGACAUGGGUGUCUUCUGCAUCGCCUACGAUGAUGUGGUGCGCUGCUUCGACAACUGCAGUCUGAGCUGGAACCCAUACAUGCUGUACCGCACCCCGGAGGGUCGGCCGCGCCGACCGGUGCGCAUCGCGUGCCACGGCGCGUUCGACUACACCCUCAGCACGGCGCUGUCGCCGCAGCUGCACAUUGGUGUCGUCGACGCGCCGAAGCGGACGCGCAUGCACCUGAUCUUGUCUCGCCACAUCACCGACGUCUCGGAGUUUGGCCGGCAGUACGAGAAGGACGACGACACGACACCGUACCUGGCCUUGAAGGUGUACGACGUGACCGACUACCCGUCUGUAGCGCAGCACCUUGGUGGCCAUUGCUCGCUGGAGAUGUGCUACUGCCGCCGCCUCGCCUCGAAUUCGGACUUUAAGAAUAGCAUUGAGCCCCUCAACGACGUCAUCUACCGCGCCUCGUCUGCGCGCACCUUCAGCUUCGACUGUCCUGCCGGCUCGAGCAAUCUGGUGGUGGUCGUGUCGCGGACUGCCUCAAAGGCGCGGCAGCCUUUCAACUUUACGGUGACCCUGCACACGGAGCUGGAGCAGAUGCGGCUGCCGCGGCUGCAGGGCAACUACGGCAGCGGCGCCGAGGACAAGAACUCCCUCCUGGCAAGCGCCAACGCCAACGCCGGGAACCCGUGCGCUGGAGUGUACAUGCACAUGAUACCGACCUCCUCGCUCAAGUUCACGACGCGGCUGUCCGGCGCGUGGGUGAAGGGCAAGACUUGCGGCGGCCGCACCGACGCCGCCACGUAUGUCUUCAACCCGCAGUACCGCCUGCACCUGGACCAGCCCUCGCACGUGUCGCUGAGGCUGGCUGUGGCAGGAUGCGAGGUGCCGUGCUCGAUUCAGAUGAUCAAGCCGAUGUCGUCCAACAAAUACGAGGAGAACGGCGGCAGCGGUGGAAUCAAGCGCAAGAUGACUGACUUCGACGGCCGUGUCGGUAACGGUGCCAAGGCGGGCGAGCUUGUUCUCGAGAGCGCCCGCUACGCCUUUGGUGGGGCCGUUCUAGAUAGCGCGCUGCCGUUCUGCGUCUGCUACGACCGCUACCGCGCCCUCGGCAAGCUGCAUUGGAGGGAAGCGAAGAAGGUGCUGGUGAACGUGACCGCCCCGAACCGGACGCCUGAGUCCUUCAUCGUCUACGACCUCGGGGACACCGACACCGUGGCGGUGCUUCUCCUGAAUGCUAUCAAGAAGGGCUGCGCUGCCUCCCCACGUGACGCGCACUUUAGCGUGAACGGGAAGCCGAUCACGCUCGAGGCCACCAUCGCGUCGCUCUUCCAGCUCGCAUCCUCCCUCGGCGGCGAGUCCCUCGCCUCUGGCGGGGAUGGCGCGACAACCGCGAAGUCUGUCACAGUAGCCCUCGCCCUGGACGGCAAGGCGGCGUCGAUCGAGUCUGCCUCGAGCCCACCUGUGAGGAAGCUGAAGGAAGUCAUGAACGACAUAGUGUCUGAUGUGCUCAAGUGCUCGUCGCAGUUCAGCAGCUACGUGCCACGCUUGACGCAUCUUGCCAGGCAGGCAAACAGCGCGCUGACCGGUGCCAGCGAUGCGGACGUGCGAGCGUACAUUCUCGAGCUCGCCGCUUACCUUGCUGACUACGUGAAGCGGUGUGCCAGCGCGGUGCGGUCGGCGCAGACGCCGCAGGCGCUGCUUCCGCUGCUUCCUGCCGGCGACUACACGGUCAUUCCAUCUUUGUGGGAGAAGGGUAAGCCGGGCAGCUUUGAGCUGACGGUGGAGACGUCACAGCCACAUAAGACGUCGGCGAUUCCGAAGGAGGGACACAACAUGCAAGAGACGCUUGUGCGCGGCGCACUACGCCCCGUCGCGGUUUGCCUGGGCACGUCACUGAUGAAGCCGAGAGCAGUGCUCAGCAUGAGGGAUCCGUUCUUUGAGAACAGCAAGGUGCAGGUGCUGUGCCCCGCCCGCUCCGUCUUCAUGAGUCGUCUCUUUGUCCUGGUUGACAUGGUGGAUGCGGAGGCGAAGGGCCAGCCGGCCAAGGCCCCCGCCACGAAUCUGAGCCUCUUCCGUGUGCACAACGCGUCAUCGAUGGAGCUGGUGUGCGCUUCAGACGAGUACUCCCAUGGCGGUGUGUCAACCCCACCUGUAGAGCUGGAGGCGAAGACGCAGUAUCUGCUCGUGGUGAGCGCAAAGGAGAGCGUGGCUGACAAGUUCCUCCUCCGCAUCUAUACCAGCGGCAGCUGCACCGCUCAGCUGGCGAGCUGAACGAGACCGGCGCCAGGAGCGGGCGAUGAGGGUGGGAGAGCAGCGGAGAUGAAGGAAGAAUCGAGCGCCUGCGUGCAUCCAUCACUGCGCCAAGUCAGACUUACGAAUAUGCAUAGUCGCACUCCUCGCGUACCUUUCGGGAGCGCUUUAUACACUGUCUCAUCUUUUUCUUUCACAUGUCUCUGCGCCUGCCGCAGAUUUACGCAUCCUCUGCGCCGCUCAUCUCGUCCUCCCUCCUUGCCGAUGCCGUAUUUGCACUUCACUGCUGUGCGAAGCGCCGGCUGGUGUGCUCUGAUGGGCUCAUCUUUUCUUUUUUCGUUUUUUUUCCACGUUUGACAGUGCCGCGCUUUCCUCUUCCGUGUCUGAGCCGCACAAGAACGCCUCGUUACGAUUCGUUUGCUGAUGCCGUUCUGUUUUUUUUUUCUUCCUUCCACGUUAUAUAUGUGUGCUCAUGACAUGUGCAUCGUGCGGAUGUGUGCAAGCGGGCAAACUAACACCGCACAGAAAAAAAAAACGAUGAUAGCGUGGGCAUGGGAAUCACCGUUGAAUUGUGCAACCUGAUGCGGCCGCGGUCGUUGCACACGAUCUGCAUGCUCCCGCACGCGCUGACGAAUGUGCACUGAUUCUAUGCGCGUCCGGGUGUAUUGGUGUUUGUGAAGGAAGCCUUUUCGUUUAAUCUUCUUUUUUUUCGUUCAUUUUCGCGCAUUGGGUGGUCUCUGUAG
rnacentral:misc_RNA from 1 species